GAUUUUCUUUUUAUAGAA
rnacentral:tRNA from 1 species